rnacentral:rRNA from 1 species
UGACGCUGAGACGCGACAGCAUGGGGAGCGAACGGGAUUAGAAACCCCGGUAGUCCAUGCCGUAAACGAUGCACACUGGGUGUACGGUCAGGGAAACCUGUCUGUGUGCCGAAGUUAACACGGUAAGUGUGCCGCCUGGGGAGUACGGUCGCAAGGCUAAAACUCAAAGGAAUUGACGGGGGCCCGCACAAGCAGCGGAGCGUGUGGUUUAAUUCGAAGCUACGCGAAGAACCUUACCCAGGCUUGACAUCCUCUGAACGACGUGGAAACACGAAGGUGCCCUCGGGCCAGAGUGACAGGUGCUGCAUGGCUGUCGUCAGCUCGUGCCGUGAGGUGUUCGGUUAAGUCCGCAAACGAGCGCAACCCCUGUGGUCAGUUACACGUGUCUGACCAGACUGCCCGUGAGAAACGGGAGGAAGGUGGGGAUGACGUCAAGUCAGCAUGGCCUUUAUGUCUGGGGCUACACACACGCUACAAUGGCGCGUACAGUGGGCAGCCAAGUCGUGAGACGGAGCGAAUCCCCCAAAGCGCGUCGUAGUUCAGAUGGCAGGCUGCAACUCGCCUGCCUGAAGUCGGAGUUGCUAGUAACCGCAGAUCAGCUACGCUGCGGUGAAUACGUUCCCGGGCCUUGUACACACCGCCCGUCACGUCAUGGGAGCUGGUCACGCCUGAAGCCGGUGGGCUAACCGCAAGGAGGCAGCCGUCGAAGGCAGGGCUGGUGACUGGGGCGAAGUCGUAACAAGGUAGCUGUACCGGAAGGUGCGGCUGGAUCACCUCCUUAA